rnacentral:rRNA from 1 species
UUGAAGAGUUUGAUCAUGGCUCAGAUUGAACGCUGGCGGCAGGCCUAACACAUGCAAGUCGAACGGUAGCACAGAGAGCUUGCUCUCGGGUGACGAGUGGCGGACGGGUGAGUAAUGUCUGGGAAACUGCCUGAUGGAGGGGGAUAACUACUGGAAACGGUAGCUAAUACCGCAUAACGUCGCAAGACCAAAGAGGGGGACCUUCGGGCCUCUUGCCAUCAGAUGUGCCCAGAUGGGAUUAGCUAGUAGGUGGGGUAACGGCUCACCUAGGCGACGAUCCCUAGCUGGUCUGAGAGGAUGACCAGCCACACUGGAACUGAGACACGGUCCAGACUCCUACGGGAGGCAGCAGUGGGGAAUAUUGCACAAUGGGCGCAAGCCUGAUGCAGCCAUGCCGCGUGUAUGAAGAAGGCCUUCGGGUUGUAAAGUACUUUCAGCGGGGAGGAAGGUGUUGUGGUUAAUAACCACAGCAAUUGACGUUACCCGCAGAAGAAGCACCGGCUAACUCCGUGCCAGCAGCCGCGGUAAUACGGAGGGUGCAAGCGUUAAUCGGAAUUACUGGGCGUAAAGCGCACGCAGGCAGUCUGUCAAGUCGGAUGUGAAAUCCCCGGGCUCAACCUGGGAACUGCAUUCGAAACUGGCAGGCUAGAGUCUUGUAGAGGGGGGUAGAAUUCCAGGUGUAGCGGUGAAAUGCGUAGAGAUCUGGAGGAAUACCGGUGGCGAAGGCGGCCCCCUGGACAAAGACUGACGCUCAGGUGCGAAAGCGUGGGGAGCAAACAGGAUUAGAUACCCUGGUAGUCCACGCCGUAAACGAUGUCGACUUGGAGGUUGUGCCCUUGAGGCGUGGCUUCCGGAGCUAACGCGUUAAGUCGACCGCCUGGGGAGUACGGCCGCAAGGUUAAAACUCAAAUGAAUUGACGGGGGCCCGCACAAGCGGUGGAGCAUGUGGUUUAAUUCGAUGCAACGCGAAGAACCUUACCUACUCUUGACAUCCAGAGAACUUAGCAGAGAUGCUUUGGUGCCUUCGGGAACUCUGAGACAGGUGCUGCAUGGCUGUCGUCAGCUCGUGUUGUGAAAUGUUGGGUUAAGUCCCGCAACGAGCGCAACCCUUAUCCUUUGUUGCCAGCGGUCCGGCCGGGAACUCAAAGGAGACUGCCAGUGAUAAACUGGAGGAAGGUGGGGAUGACGUCAAGUCAUCAUGGCCCUUACGAGUAGGGCUACACACGUGCUACAAUGGCGCAUACAAAGAGAAGCGACCUCGCGAGAGCAAGCGGACCUCAUAAAGUGCGUCGUAGUCCGGAUUGGAGUCUGCAACUCGACUCCAUGAAGUCGGAAUCGCUAGUAAUCGUAGAUCAGAAUGCUACGGUGAAUACGUUCCCGGGCCUUGUACACACCGCCCGUCACACCAUGGGAGUGGGUUGCAAAAGAAGUAGGUAGCUUAACCUUCGGGAGGGCGCUUACCACUUUGUGAUUCAUGACUGGGGUGAAGUCGUAACAAGGUAACCGUAGGGGAACCUGCGGUUGGAUCACCUCCUU